rnacentral:misc_RNA from 1 species
UUUCCGUAGGUGAACCUGCGGAAGGAUCAUUAUUGUAUAACCGAGGUGCGAGGGCUGUCGCUGACCCGAAAGGUCGUGCACGCCCGAGUGCCCUCACCCACAUCCAUCUCACCCCUAUGUGCACCACCGCGUGGGUCGCCCUUUGGCUUGUUCGGAGGGGGGCUUACGUUUUCACACACACUUUGUAUGCAGUGUAGAAUGUAUUUUUUGUUUUUGCGAUAACGCAAUCAAUACAACUUUCAACAACGGAUCUCUUGGCUCUC